rnacentral:rRNA from 1 species
UAGUCAUAUGCUUGUCUCAAAGAUUAAGCCAUGCAUGUCUAAGUACAUACUGUUUAUAAAGUGAAACCGCGAAUGGCUCAUUAAAUCAUUAAGGCCACGGCCCCUAGCGAAUCUACCAUAAUUUUGUUCAAGCAAGUCUUCCAAGCCUCUUCCGUAGCAAAUACUCAGAAAUCUUAAAGUGUUCAUAGAACUCGACAACUAUUAUUUGAGGAACAUUUAAUACUGUCAAUGAGUCACUAGUCACUUUCAAAAAUAGCAGGUCCACUGCGAGGUUGGGGUCUUGUUUGGCGGAGUUUUUGGCUAAGGUUCCGGCGUGUCUAGGGGUGAACGCAAUCGCCUCUACGAGGUGUGGCUAGAAACUAGAGAACGGCAGCUCAUACGUACCAUUCGUUGGCUAACGGAGAGUGUCACUGU